rnacentral:rRNA from 1 species
GUAGGUGGCAAGCGUUGUCCGGAAUUAUUGGGCGUAAAGCGCGCGCAGGCGGGUCCUUUAAGUCUGAUGUGAAAGCCCACGGGCUCAACCGUGGAGGGUCAUUGGAAACUGGGGGACUUGAGUACAGAAGAGGAAAGCGGAAUUCCAAGUGUAGCGGUGAAAUGCGUAGAGAUUUGGAGGGACACCAGUGGCGAAGGCGGCUUUCUGGUCUGUAACUGACGCUGAGGCGCGAAAGCGUGGGGAGCAAACAGGAUUAGAUACCCUGGUAGUCCACGCCGUAAACGAUGAGUGCUAAGUGUUAGGGGGUUUCCGCCCCUUAGUGCUGCAGCUAACGCAUUAAGCACUCCGCCUGGGGAGUACGGCCGCAAAGGCUG